ensembl:lncRNA
AAGAGUUUUAAGUACAAUAAUUAUGUUUUAUAGUCUGCAUACUUAAAAACAGCUUCCAAAAUCUUUUUUUUAUAUAUAAAAAAUUUUAUAGCUCUACUAAAUGAAAUUAAAUAAUAACAGUUUAUUGGGUAUCUAGGUCAUUUCCACAUAAGAUAAAAUAUAAAAGGUUAACUACUAAGCAUAUAUUUAUCUGCCUUUGGUUUCUUAUAUCAAAGAGACUAAAAAGUGCUUAGGUUUAUUGAUAAAUGAGUUUUAUAUAUGCUGAGAAAUUUUCUAUGAGAAAACAUAUAUUUCUAAAAGAUCUGUAUACAAGGAAAGCAAAAUAUAUGUUUUCAGUAAAAAGAUAUAAAGAAUGGAAAUAUUUUUUAUCUUGAGUUGAGAAAGAUAAAUUUGUCCUAAAGUGCUGGGACAAAUUCUUAAUGUAAAAAAAGUAACCAAAGGUUUGUAAAAGUAAAACCCUAAAGAGAUUUAUGUAUGGUCAAGUUGACCAGGAUUAAAGUAAAUCCAAUUAAGUAAAUAAACUUAUAUGUCAAAAGUAAACUGGUACAAAAUUAAAACUUAGUUUCCUCUUUCUUAAAAGUAUAAUUUUCCUAAAUUUUUAAUCUGCUCUUAAUAAAAAGAUUAUAAAAAGUCUUUUGUUGACUAUUUUAACUCUGUUUCCCCUUGACUGUUUCUGUUGUCACUUUGAAUAGAUACCUGAACACGGUUUUACAGUGAACUUUGUUUCCUAUCUGAACAAAUGUUUUAAAGCUUUUAAGAUUUUUGACAAGCUUCCCCCCACACACAAAUAUUCAAGUCUUGAAUAAAAGCUUUCUUUUGACCUGGAAGAGGAGGGAAGGUUUCUCUGGGGAUUUUCAGAGGGCCCCUGGGACUUCUUGGAGAAAUUUACUCUCUUCCUAUAAGAAAAGAAUGUUAAACUAAUAAGGCUUAUUUUGUAUAUUAAAUUACACGAGAAGCGUUGUCAAAUAAAUAAUGAUAAACUUUCUUAAAUGGUAUUAUGUAAAUGAGUGUUAUUGAUAUAAACAUUUAAAAAAUUAUCUGAUCUGUUCUGAUUGUCAGCUAUAAUCCUGGUUAUUAUCUCAAAAUGUUGUGUAUCACAGACAUGGUCAAAUGCCUUUGUCAGUUACCAUUUUUUAAUGUUUUGUUAUUUAUGAACAGUGGCUAUUUUACUUUAAUGUUUUUGCAAAUAUGUUUCAUCUUCAGAGAAAUUCAUGGAAAGGACUCUGACACUCUAGAAUACAGGUUUCUAAUAAACGUUCAGAUUGUAAAACUAAACUGGGUAAAAAUUACAGAACUCCAACAGAGAAACUGAUGACCUCACAAACUGCUGACAGAAGAUUAAGAUCAAGAACCAAUUACGCAGGACAGAACAAACUGAUAGGGAUGAUUAUAAUUUUCAGAAUUUUUGGUUGAGAUAUUGCUGAUUUUUGAUGUUUUGCUUUUUUCAGAGUUAAGAAAACCUUUUUCUCUAUUCUCUUGAAGAACUAUGACUUACAGCAAUUUAUAAACAAAAUUGAAACAUUUGUCUUUUCCUCCCUUUCUGAGCCCUCCAAAACAUAAAAACCCCUGAAGUUCCAAUAAGAAUCUGUUCUUCUUUUAACAGGACACAAUUGGAAACACUGGUUAUAUUACCAAGGCUUUGACUGGAACAUCAUGUUUGAAAAAACAUAUGGGCUUGGAUAUAAUAAAACAGCUUUUGAGGAAUGAAGGUUGACAUUCUGGAAUAAAGCCACUUGGAAAUAUUGGCCUGGUACUGUGUUUAUGGGUUCUGUAACCUGGUAAGGUUGAGCAAAGAAUGUCACUCCCUCUGGCAGGUACAAGGAACCUCAAUAUUUUGGGGAACCUCACGAAGAGAGGGAUUCACCCAAAUCUGUAGUUACUGCAGGCAGAAUCUGAUAACAGGUGCUUUGCUUGGCUUUCCUUGAGAGACCUUUACAGUUCAACCUGAGAUUCCUUAUAAGGUUCCAGCAAAGCAGAUUAAAAAGAGCCUAUAUGAUCAAUUACUAUUCUUGCUGUACUUAUGUAAAUAAUUA